CGGGGUGUAGCGCAGCCUGGUAGCGCGCUUCGUUCGGGACGAAGAGGCUGGAAGUUCAAUUCCUCUCACCCCAACCA
rnacentral:tRNA from 1 species